CCUACGGGGGGCUGCAGUGGGGAAUAUUGGGCAAUGGAGGCAACUCUGACCCAGCAAUGCCGCGUGAGUGAUGAAGGUCAUUGUAUUGUAAAGCUCUUUUCUUUGGAACGAAUAAAUGACGGUUCCAAAGGAAUAAGCCCCGGCUAACAACGUGCCAGCAGGCGGGGUUAUGCGUGGGGGGCAAGCGUUGGUCGGGAUGUCUGGGCGUAAAGGGUGUGUAGGUGGGUUGAUAAGGUAGAUGUGUAAUACCCAGGGCUUAACUCGGGUGCUGCAUCUAAAACUGGUAGACUUGAGUGCGGGAGAGGAAAGUGGAAUUCCUAGUGUAGCGGUGGAAUGCGUAGAUAUUAGGAGGAACAUCAGUGGCGAAGGCGACUAUCUGGACAACAACUGACACUGAGGCACGAAAGCGUGGGGAGCAAACAGGAUUAGAUACCCUAGUAGUC
rnacentral:rRNA from 1 species